CCCCACUUUUUGUUCCUUCCCGUACCCAUUUUUGCUUUUCUUUCGUUUUCGAAGCUCUCUAUUUUUCUCCUUCUGUCGUUCUCACCUCUUUGUUUCCUCAGUCAUCCUUCUGUGGACGCAGCUUUUCUCGCUGCUUCCUUCCUUCAUUUUCCCGCCGUCUCCCUGCUCGCCUAUCUCCCAAAAUCUUUUCAAUUCCGCCAGCCGCAGCCACCACUCAGACUUCCCCAAACCUCUAAAGCCACCGUUAUUGAAGCCACCCGUAAUCCUUUGAACUGUUGUUUAAGCCAUUUAGGGUAUUCUUUGUACAGAGAUGACAACAACUUGGCUGCUGCACCGUCUCUUGCCACUUGAGGCUACUACAUGGAUCCUAUGAACAGACUUGGAAGCAAAACUUUCAAUCAGAUUACCAAGAGUUGACUCCAGUUUGCAUGUAAUUGGUUGCAUGACUUUUCUAAUUUCGCUGGUCGUCGUGAUGGUGCUCAUGAAGUCCCUAACAGUGAGCUUCCUGAGAGAAAUUGUUACACAAAUUAAGUGGCCCAUCAAAAUGAUUUUCGUCUGUCAAGUGAUCAAGGCGAGCACUGUUUUUUUUCUUUGACAGAAAUCAGUGUAAGAAGAUUUAUAAUAUUUUAAAACAUUAUUUGAGAAUUCUGGCAUUUGAAUUGAAUUGGUAUUGAUUUUUUUUCAUAUUUUUUUUCAUUGAAUUUUAUUUUAUAUAACAAUGUCAUUUGUACUUUCCGCACAUUUCUACCAACACAUCCAUUGCUGGUCACUGAAGCUGAUACCGAAGUGUUCAAAGCAAACUAGAAGGGAUCUGAUUUCGAGAAGAAGGAUUUGAUUUAUCUUUACAGCCAGUGCAAGGGGAAUAUGAAUAGGUAUUAGCUUUAUUUAUCACUGCAUUUAUCUUUUUGGUCAUUUGGAUUCCUGUUUCUGUUUGAUACUUGCAGACUGUUCUAUUCAAUGAUAGGUUGUGAUGCUAAACUCGAUUCAUACCGUUUCAAGGAAAUUCUUGUGAGGCAAUAGCUACAAGUGCGCAUAUGUUUAUUAAGCUUCAAGUUCAUAGUGAAAUUUCUGGGAUUUUGGUUCAUGUUUUAAUUUUAGGUGCUUGGAUAUAGUGUUUAUAUUUAUGUGAUUGAAGGAUGACAUGGGUUUCGAAUUACUCAUUGAACAUAGUCAUUUUAGUUUCAGUUAUUACAUUGAAUUUGCUCA